GCAAGACAAACACACAUCUAACUGGCCUGCUUUCGUUCACUACAUAAUCAUCAGUGAUAUUGCCCUAAGUAACCAAUUUCUGUGUCUCCUCUUGAGAAUGCAUAUGGCAGUAUAUUUAAAUGGUUAUUUUUUGUUUUGUAUGAUUGUUACCUUACCUUUGUAAUAAAGUUGUUAACAUGUUUUGAUGCUUUGUGUUUAACUUUUAUGUUUAUAUAUAUAUAUAUAUAUAUAUAUAUACAUAUAUAUAUAUUUAGAUGAAGUAGAACAAUUACCUCUGCAACUACAAAUGGAUUGCUGGUUAAAAGCAGGACAUUUAAAAAGCAAAUGUGAAGAUGGAAAUUGUAAUAUCGAUCAGGCUUACACUUUAAGAGAGACAUGCUGUAUUGAUCAAGCCCAGGAUAAAACCAGUCAUACUAUAAAGUACUAAAUGUGUCUUUAAAUUUUAUCGACCAAACUGACAGGGGUAUGCAAAAUGAAAGCCAUAUGCAGAAAAUUCUCUUCAAAGUCACUGUGAUGCAAGUUUACUUUUGUUUGGCAAUUCAGGGUCCCAGUGGAUUACAGCUACAGAUUAAAGUAUCAGGAAGAAAAUGAAAAUGUAAAGGCAUAGUAAUUUUUAAGAAAGCAUUAUUUACUUUUGGGAUUUGCUUUUGUGAUAGGAAGAAUGACCGAAUCUCCAAUGUGAUUGCUUUGCAGGAUACUUCUGUUCUGUGGCAAGUUAUAACACCAUUUUGAAAUAAAAUUUUGUGAAUCUAAAAAUAAGGAUUCCAGAUUCUUUCAUCAAUAUCUUGCAGCUCCUCCCUUCAAGAGGUGGAGUCUAUUUUCCCACUCCUUGAAUCUGGUCUUGCCUUGUAAUUUGCUGCGACUAAUAGUACGUUGCUGAAGUUACAUUGCGUAGACACUAGACCUUCAGUGGAGCGCCUGCCUUUCCUUCUUGGAAUGCUUUGAUCACCAUGUAAAGCCACCUAGCUACUGAAUGAUGAGAAACCAUGCAGAAAGAAUGGCGUAGCUAACAGCCAGCAACAAGGCCCAAGACAUAUGUGUGAAUCCAUUUUAGAUCCUCCGGCCCCAGGCAAGCCACCUGAUCAAUGCAAACACAGGAGUAAUCUCAGGCAAAACUAGCAGAAGAACAGCUCAGCUAACCCACAAAAUUAUUAAAAAUAAUAAGUUGCCUUCUUAAGUCACUGAUCUUUGGGGGUGGAUUGUUAUACAGCAAUAGAUAACUGAUACGACAUAGUAACAAACACGGGUGCAGGUCAGUAACAUUGUCUGAUAACACACUCUAAAGAGGAUUUAAGAAUGCAUCUAAAGAACUUGAGGUCCUGGUCAGAAAGCUGAGAUGAUAUGAAAUCUUUACAAAGAUUUCAUGCCUGAAACCUUUACAUCAGGCAUGAGCCACUGAGCCUGGCAUGUUAUAUGUCUUCUUAAGCACAACCGAUGAUACUGCAACUGAUGAUACUGCAAAUGCUUUUUAUUUUCGCUUAGUUUAUGGUAUAUUCCGGUAAGCAGAUAUGAAGAAGGUCUGUUAAACAGAUGACUCAUGGUAACCAGAAAGCAAUGAUAACAGUUAAAAUCAGUUUGCAAAUACUACUAAUGUAGGAAUGUCUUCAAUGAUUGUGUAAGGGCAGUGGUAGAGGGGAAAAGCACCAAAGGAUUGGUGGCUUAUGGAAAAGUUGUUGCCAAGAUGUAUUUAAUUACUCAUCAUGUGAGGUAUAAGACAAGCACUAGCGAUUAUAAAGAUUCUCACAUCUUUGCACACAGUAUUAGAUAAUGCCAUACAAAUUUCAGUUUUAUUAAAGCUUAAACUUUCAAUCGUAGGCUUUUCAGGAUAAUUUGUAGUGAUAUGCGCACUUAGUUCUAGAACCUGAACAAGCUUAUGUUUGUUUGGAAUUCAAGGUCCAAAAUGAGUUACAGCUAUAAAUUAAAGUGCCAGUAAAGAAAUGAAAACAAACUUUAGACUCAAUAUACAAACUAACAUAAAUCUCAUUUUUUUUGAAAAUUUCAGAAAAUAUCUGACAAAAUGAUUCCUCAGGCAUGUGGGAUUUUAGAAAAGAAAUCACUUAACAUGCCAUAAUUUAAUAAUAUAUGUUUGAAAGUUAUUUUUCCACCAAACAAUGGCAGCCUGAAAAAUCUGUUUACUGAUUAUCUCCACACUGAACACAUAAGUUAAUGUUUGUGGAUAAUAUUACUUAUUAAAUAUUGAAAUGUCAUUUUUCUUUCAAAUGCCUUUUUUGCUUUCCUCAGAUGUGUUAACUUGUCUUUAAGCGGGCCACCAUCAAUUUGCUCAACUCCGGGAUAGUUGAACCUAGGCAGGCCUUAGUGACUUGUUUAAGUAAUAGAAUAUGUUGAAAAAUAUCUUUGGAGCUUCUGAAGCUAGGUUAUAAGAAGACUUGGAGCUUCUGCCUACGCCUCCUGAAACACCUACUCUUGGACCCCUGAGCCACCAUGCAAGAAAGUUUAGUCCCUGCUGGAAUGAGUUCAUGGAGAGGCUCUGAGUCUGUAUGGAGAGGGAGACAGGCCUAGCUGAGCCUACCUACUACCUGUGCCCACUAAAGCAUCAGGCAUAUGUAGUGAGAAGGUGGCCAUUCCCAACCCAAGGAGAGAACCCUCACCAGAUACUGACCCUGCUGGCAUCUUGAUCUUGGACUUCAAGGCUCCAGAACUG
rnacentral:lncRNA from 10 species